rnacentral:rRNA from 1 species
GAGCCCAGAGCCUGAAUCAGUGUGUGUGUUAGUGGAAGCGUCUGGAAAGGCGCGCGAUACAGGGUGACAGCCCCGUACACAAAAAUGCACAUGCUGUGAGCUCGAUGAGUAGGGCGGGACACGUGGUAUCCUGUCUGAAUAUGGGGGGACCAUCCUCCAAGGCUAAAUACUCCUGACUGACCGAUAGUGAACCAGUACCGUGAGGGAAAGGCGAAAAGAACCCCGGCGAGGGGAGUGAAAAAGAACCUGAAACCGUGUACGUACAAGCAGUGGGAGCACAGAGCAAUCUGUGUGACUGCGUACCUUUUGUAUAAUGGGUCAGCGACUUAUAUUCUGUAGCAAGGUUAACCGAAUAGGGGAGCCGAAGGGAAACCGAGUCUUAACUGGGCGUUAAGUUGCAGGGUAUAGACCCGAAACCCGGUGAUCUAGCCAUGGGCAGGUUGAAGGUUGGGUAACACUAACUGGAGGACCGAACCGACUAAUGUUGAAAAAUUAGCGGAUGACUUGUGGCUGGGGGUGAAAGGCCAAUCAAACCGGGAGAUAGCUGGUUCUCCCCGAAAGCUAUUUAGGUAGCGCCUCGUGAAUUCAUCUCCGGGGGUAGAGCACUGUUUCGGCAAGGGGGUCAUCCCGACUUACCAACCCGAUGCAAACUGCGAAUACCGGAGAAUGUUAUCACGGGAGACACACGGCGGGUGCUAACGUCCGUCGUGAAGAGGGAAACAACCCAGACCGCCAGCUAAGGUCCCAAAGUCAUGGUUAAGUGGGAAACGAUGUGGGAAGGCCCAGACAGCCAGGAUGUUGGCUUAGAAGCAGCCAUCAUUUAAAGAAAGCGUAAUAGCUCACUGGUCGAGUCGGCCUGCGCGGAAGAUGUAACGGGGCUAAACCAUGCACCGAAGCUGCGGCAGCGACACUGUGUGUUGUUGGGUAGGGGAGCGUUCUGUAAGCCUGUGAAGGUGUGCUGUGAGGCAUGCUGGAGGUAUCAGAAGUGCGAAUGCUGACAUAAGUAACGAUAAAGCGGGUGAAAAGCCCGCUCGCCGGAAGACCAAGGGUUCCUGUCCAACGUUAAUCGGGGCAGGGUGAGUCGACCCCUAAGGCGAGGCCGAAAGGCGUAGUCGAUGGGAAACAGGUUAAUAUUCCUGUACUUGGUGUUACUGCGAAGGGGGGACGGAGAAGGCUAUGUUGGCCGGGCGACGGUUGUCCCGGUUUAAGCGUGUAGGCUGGUUUUCCAGGCAAAUCCGGAAAAUCAAGGCUGAGGCGUGAUGACGAGGCACUACGGUGCUGAAGCAACAAAUGCCCUGCUUCCAGGAAAAGCCUCUAAGCAUCAGGUAACAUCAAAUCGUACCCCAAACCGACACAGGUGGUCAGGUAGAGAAUACCAAGGCGCUUGAGAGAACUCGGGUGAAGGAACUAGGCAAAAUGGUGCCGUAACUUCGGGAGAAGGCACGCUGAUAUGUAGGUGAAGUCCCUCGCGGAUGGAGCUGAAAUCAGUCGAAGAUACCAGCUGGCUGCAACUGUUUAUUAAAAACACAGCACUGUGCAAACACGAAAGUGGACGUAUACGGUGUGACGCCUGCCCGGUGCCGGAAGGUUAAUUGAUGGGGUCAGCGCAAGCGAAGCUCUUGAUCGAAGCCCCGGUAAACGGCGGCCGUAACUAUAACGGUCCUAAGGUAGCGAAAUUCCUUGUCGGGUAAGUUCCGACCUGCACGAAUGGCGUAAUGAUGGCCAGGCUGUCUCCACCCGAGACUCAGUGAAAUUGAACUCGCUGUGAAGAUGCAGUGUACCCGCGGCAAGACGGAAAGACCCCGUGAACCUUUACUAUAGCUUGACACUGAACAUUGAGCCUUGAUGUGUAGGAUAGGUGGGAGGCUUUGAAGUGUGGACGCCAGUCUGCAUGGAGCCGACCUUGAAAUACCACCCUUUAAUGUUUGAUGUUCUAACGUGGACCCGUGAUCCGGGUUGCGGACAGUGUCUGGUGGGUAGUUUGACUGGGGCGGUCUCCUCCUAAAGAGUAACGGAGGAGCACGAAGGUUGGCUAAUCCUGGUCGGACAUCAGGAGGUUAGUGCAAUGGCAUAAGCCAGCUUGACUGCGAGCGUGACGGCGCGAGCAGGUGCGAAAGCAGGUCAUAGUGAUCCGGUGGUUCUGAAUGGAAGGGCCAUCGCUCAACGGAUAAAAGGUACUCCGGGGAUAACAGGCUGAUACCGCCCAAGAGUUCAUAUCGACGGCGGUGUUUGGCACCUCGAUGUCGGCUCAUCACAUCCUGGGGCUGAAGUAGGUCCCAAGGGUAUGGCUGUUCGCCAUUUAAAGUGGUACGCGAGCUGGGUUUAGAACGUCGUGAGACAGUUCGGUCCCUAUCUGCCGUGGGCGCUGGAGAACUGAGGGGGGCUGCUCCUAGUACGAGAGGACCGGAGUGGACGCAUCACUGGUGUUCGGGUUGUCAUGCCAAUGGCACUGCCCGGUAGCUAAAUGCGGAAGAGAUAAGUGCUGAAAGCAUCUAAGCACGAAACUUGCCCCGAGAUGAGUUCUCCCUGACCCUUUAAGGGUCCUGAAGGAACGUUGAAGACGACGACGUUGAUAGGCCGGGUGUGUAAGCGCAGCGAUGCGUUGAGCUAACCGGUACUAAUGAACCGUGAGGCUUAACCUUACAACGCCGAAGGUGUUU